CCUUCUUUAGCUCAGUUGGUAGAGCGCGAGACUGUAAACGGUUCCCUGUUAUCUCGAUGUCACCUGUUCGACCCAGGUAGGAAGGA